UACAGAGGUCCCAAGCGUUGUUCGGAUUCACUGGGCGUAAAGGGCGCGUAGGCGGGCGGUCAAGUCGGGGGUGAAAUCUUUCAGCUUAACUGGAAAAGUGCCUCCGAUACUGAUCGCCUCGAGGGAGGUAGGGGCAUGUGGAACUUCCGGUGGAGCGGUGAAAUGCGUAGAUAUCGGAAGGAACAUCGGUGGCGAAAGCGGCGCGCUGGACCUCUUCUGACGCUGAGGCGCGAAAGCCAGGGGAGCAAACGGG
rnacentral:rRNA from 1 species